rnacentral:rRNA from 1 species
ACAAGCGGUGAAUGCUUUGGGGUGGGGUGACUGCGUACCUUUUGUAUAAUGGGUCAGCGACUUAUAUUCUGUAGCAAGGUUAACCGAAUAGGGGAGCCGGAGGGAAACCGAGUCUUAAUU